CCUACGGGAGGCAGCAGUGGGGAAUCUUGCGCAAUGGGCGAAAGCCUGACGCAGCGACGCCGCGUGGGGGAUGAAGCUUCUCGGAGUGUAAACCCCUUUCGACUGGGACGAAUACCUCGCAAGAGGGGUGACGGUACCAGUAGAAGAAGCCCCGGCUACCUACGUGCCAACAGCCGCGGUAAU
rnacentral:rRNA from 1 species